ACCAUGAUACCUUUAUUUCUGACGAGCACAGGGUUUUAUGGCAAAAGGCUUGAUUUGUAUGCGAAUAAUCUCCCUGAUUAUCAACAGAAGUCUCACUCUGAACCUCUAAGCAUCAAGAAUGUUACACAUGUUCCUCAACAAGAAGAAAGUUCAAAUGAUUGUGGUUUAUACACAUCUCUAUUUGCCGAAUACAUGAGCAAUGGUGUUUUUGAUAUGUCACAUAUUGAUAUUGAUUCAACAUAUCAUCAUCAAAGAUGUGCUACAUUACUUUGACAUUAUGGAAAAUCAAAGAAUGAUGAAGGCACAAUCAGUGAAAGUGAAGUUACAGGAACUAGCAAGAAGGGUGGACCUCGAACUCAUAAAGAACAAGUUAUGGACACCACCAAUUAUCCUACUCCAAAAUUUCGUAUCA